rnacentral:rRNA from 1 species
AGCGCAGACGGUUGAUUAAGUCUGAUGUGAAAGCCCGGAGCUCAACUCCGGAAUGGCAUUGGAAACUGGUUAACUUGAGUGCAGUAGAGGUAAGUGGAACCCCAUGUGUAGCGGUGGAAUGCGUAGAUAUAUGGAAGAACACCAGUGGCGAAGGCGGCUUACUGGACUGUAACUGACGUUGAGGCUCGAAAGUGUGGUAGCAAACA